rnacentral:rRNA from 3 species
CAGGUAGGGAUACCCGCUGAACUUAAGCAUAU